AUGAACGCUGGCGGCGUGCCUAAUACAUGCAAGUCGAGCGAACAGACGAGGAGCUUUCUCCUCUGACGUUAGCGGCGGACGGGUGAGUAACACGUGGAUAACCUACCUAUAAGACUGGGAUAACUUCGGGAAACCGGAGCUAAUACCGGAUAAUAUAUUGAACCGCAUGGUUCAAUAGUGAAAGACGGUUUUGCUGUCACUUAUAGAUGGAUCCGCGCCGCAUUAGCUAGUUGGUAAGGUAACGGCUUACCAAGGCAACGAUGCGUAGCCGACCUGAGAGGGUGAUCGGCCACACUGGAACUGAGACACGGUCCAGACUCCUACGGGAGGCAGCAGUAGGGAAUCUUCCGCAAUGGGCGAAAGCCUGACGGAGCAACGCCGCGUGAGUGAUGAAGGUCUUCGGAUCGUAAAACUCUGUUAUUAGGGAAGAACAAAUGUGUAAGUAACUAUGCACGUCUUGACGGUACCUAAUCAGAAAGCCACGGCUAACUACGUG
rnacentral:rRNA from 1 species